rnacentral:lncRNA from 1 species
CUAUACUAGUGUUGUCACUCUCUUGUUGACCAUUGUACAAUAUUUGAAUUUUGAAUUCAAAUGAAUUGGCUCUAUAAUUACAAGACCUCUCCAUUAUCUCAUUCUUGAAUUUGGCAUAACAUUUGAGAGAGAGCAUAGAGAGGUAACCAAGUGGGAGCUUUCCAUAACUUCGAAGAAAUUCUUGGUGGCUUCUGGCGGAUCUUUUUUCGGUAUAUCCAUUGCCAUUCCCGUGGACGACGGUGCAUGAUUCGGUGUGACACAAAUCUGAACUCAACAUCAAAAAUAUUUCAUUUGUGGUAUUGAAGAAGCUUUAGGUCAUUAUUGGUUCGGUUUUAUACUUUGAGAGUUUAUUAUUCCGCAUUGUAGUUGUAAUAAUCUUUCAUAAACUACACUUUAAACUCUACAAAUUUUUUUUUUGGUUCAAUUUCUAUAUUUCCUUUGAGAAUGGUGCAAGUCGAACAUAUGCAAUUUGGCCUGGCUAUGUCUUUAACCAUUGAGUUUGUAUUUACAGGCAACAAUUGCAGAGAGUGGGAAUCAAACUGUAAAUAUACACAAAAAGAAGUUACUUGGUCAUUAGCAGACCAAAUUGUUGAAGAACUUCUUUUGUUGAGAUUGAAGUUUUGUAUUCCUUCCUUUUUGAUUGUUCUUCAGGAAUUUCUUGAAGUGCUUGGUGUUCAUGGCCAUAUGUUCAUCAGUUUCACUUUCUUCAUCGUCAACCUCUUCUUCAGUAUUUUUGACUUUAAAGGCAACUCAAUAUCUCUUUUCUUUCUUCCUUCUAUGGAGGUGCAAAUCAAAUGUCAUUAGUAAACUUACCAAUUCUUCUACCUUUAUGGUUUCAAUAUCUUUGCUUUCUUCUAUGGUAGUUACUUUGGAAUGAAAUUGAUCAAGUAGCUAGAGAUCUCAGGAUCUUCUUUACUAUCUUGUUUUCUGAUUACUCUUCCCGAAAGUAUAUGCUGAAUUGGU